GACUGAUUGUUUUUUGUGUACUGUUUUUGUGUUCUUGGAUGAUGAUAUUGUGGUGCAGCGGGAUCUCACAACAUUGUGGAAAAUUGAUAUCGAUGGGAAGGUGAAUGGAGCAGUUGAGACAUGCUUUGGGUCUUUUCAUCAUUAUUCACAGCAUAUAAAUUUCUCACACCCUUGAUCAAAGUUAAGUGGAAUUUAGUGGGCAGCUUUUAUUUUGUUAUGUGCAGAAUUCACAAUAGCUCAGCUGAAUUCCAAAUUUUCUCAACAAAAUUGGUUGGUUCAUUAAUCUGUACAAGAGAAGCAAUUUAUCUCAUGAAAUUCGAAGACAGGGAGAGUAAAAAGAAGAAAUUGAAGGCAUGGAUGCUAUUAGCUCGAGGAUGGAGGAACAAAUUAUUGAAAG